UUUAGGAGGUUUAUUUGCCAAAGUUGAGGACGAACACCCGGGAAACAGUCUGUACCUUUCUCCGAAGAUGAUUUUGAGGGCUCCAAAUUUAAAGAGGAAAGGGUGGGAUAAUGACAAGUACACAAUUUUCAUGUAAGAGGCAGGUAGAGAAAAAUAGUCACGCCUUUGGCUCAUUGAAUCUGCAUUAUUUCUACACAAGAUAACGUCUUAUUUAGGGACCAAAAGGGGAGGCAGGUUUGCACGACCCAGUUCCCAGCUUGACUUUUCCCUCUGGCUUGAGUUUGGGGGCCCGAGAUUUAUUUUCCCUUCACAGGUGGGAGGAUGGUGUAAGCCUGGGAGGCAGGGCUGCAGGGAGCCAAGAUCGUGCCACUGCACUCCAGCCUGGGUGACAGAGUGAGAUCCUGUCUCAAACAAAACAAAACAAAACAAAAAACCUCUCUCUGGGAGAGGGAGGGACUGUGAAAGCAACCGAGGAAACAGGCAGCUUUCAUUCCCAGCAGCGUGGGAUCCUCGCCCAAGGCCGGGAAAACACAGGAGUGAAAUGACAGCUAUAGAAGUACACUCCACAGGCUGCACAAAAAGAACAAAAACAGUGCUACACACACCAGUAAGCAACGGCACUGGCAUGCUCCACCUCCUGUGGGCAGCCUGGGGAUGAGGUCAUUUUCCAAAAUAGGGAGCUGGUCAGCAUUUUCCAUGCCCAGGGCAAGUUCCCCUUGAUGGGCAGCGCCUAACGACCAGCGCUGAGUCAGUCUAGGAGCAGAAAGACUGGAAACCCUGGAGCAGGAGCCACGUCAGCGUGACUCAAGCAAUGGCAAGUUUUCACAGCAACAACAUGAAACGCCCAACAGGGUGAUGACUAUGGGAGGAAGACGGACCGGAACCUGGAUAGUGCGUGCACUGCACACCCUCCUGGUUAACAGCCCCACGCCCCGAGAGCUGUUCUUUACACAAAUUUCUUCUGUUAAAGCAGCUGGUGUGGCUUCUGCAGCCUGGUGGAGCCAACACGUGCCUGUCACGGAGGUGAGGAGUGGGUGCCCACCAGCAUUUCAUGCUGACCUUCCAGAAACACGGUGUCCCUCAGAGCCUUCAGCCUGCAGGACAGAGCCACCCCUGGUCGUUCUGUUGGAAUUUCGGCGUUCCUGUCUUUUAGGCAACAUCCGCCAAGUGCAGUUUGUGUGAAGAAACGCAUUCUGUCGUGUCUGCCGGAGCCCAGCGCGGCUGCUGUGCACGAACCAGCUUUUGUGGCCCACAGAGCGAUGACUCAGUCUGGAGCUCGGCUACUCUCCGGCCCGGGGUGCUGGCAUUUCCCUGGGGCCCAGUGCCUCUAUUUUCCCCAUGAGGCCUCAGCCAAGAGGAGGUUCUGGAAGAAAGGAAAACACUGGUGCCGAGAGAGAAGGGCUGGCCAAGAGGCACCACGCCAUCAGUGCUGAUGGGGAGAGGCGGCUCCAGCCCGGCCCUGCUGUCCUUACGAGGCGUGUUUCCUUUUUAUUCAGAGGAAGGGCAGCAGAGGAACACGUCAUGGAGACGGACCGAGUGGAAGGAGCCAGGGAUGGCGACAAGCAGAAGGAAGUGUAUUUUGUCCCCAUCCAGGGAAACUUUUGUUUCAUGAGACUUUACUUGCACACGUCUGAUGGCCGCCCUGGACGUUCAUGGACUUUUGUUUUCACUCAAAUUUUGUGGUUCAAGUGACACAAAGCAUGAGGACGUCACUGGGUGAAAGGGCCAGGUCACCCCACCGCGGAGGGUCACGCCCCAGCUGUGCACCGCGGGAGUGGGCUUGUCCAGUCUUCAAACACAGGGACAGGAUGUGCCCAUCUCAUGUUAAGACGUGAAUAAUAGUAGAAAUUUCUGUUACAGGAGAACUCUCUGCAUUAUCCUCACCAUUUUCCUGUAAGAGUAAAACUUCUAAAAAAUUUUUAUGAGCACACUAAUUCCUCACUUAAGGUCAUCAUUAGGUUCCUGGAAACGGCAACUUUCAACAAAAGGACAGACAGCAGGUGCUCAAAUAGCAUUCUUUCCUUCAACAUCAUUUCAUACUAAGGAGAAAAAAUGGAUUUUGUUACAUGUCCUUUCAUUUAAGGCUGCACUUUCCAAGAACCUACUGGUGACAUCAAGUAAGGACCUACUGCACCUUACAAGUUGCUGGCAUUUGCAGAGUGCACCCC